rnacentral:lncRNA from 1 species
UAUUACGCAUUCGAUGCAAUACUGGUAGAAUAAAGGACAUCAUAUCUUCAUCAUCCUCGCUUCUCCUCUUCCUAAUUCGAUCGAUAAUCUCGGAGUUCAUGUUGACACUAAAACUAAAAUCAAGAAGCAACAAAUAAGAACUAUAUUCACUAAGACAUACAUAAUGAUCUAGAAUAUUAUAUCAUCAGUGUGCCAAGAUGUGCAAUGACCAAGAGCUAUCAAGUAUGAUAUACUACUUCGGCAAAGAAACAAGCUCAAGAGGGCUUAUGUAGCUUACCAAAGUUUGGCGUGGCAACAGGUUCCCAAGAAGGAGGUAACUCGUCCACCCCAACAAGGAUCCAAGCUGCAGGCUGUGAAAAUAAGAGUCAAACACAUUUCAUCAUAAGUAUUAUAAG